UUCAGGGCAAACCCACCCUGUGCCUUCAAAUCCACAACAUCGUUGCCCCUAUCAAUCCGUUGCAUGCUGAUUCUGUAGCCAAACGAAGAGCAUUUGAAGCACCCCUACAAUCGCCGUACAGACCAUUCAACAUCAUGGUUGGAAGGUAGCAGCUCUUGCAAAUGCACUGACACCCACGGCUCCGUAACCCAGGUCUCUUGAACGCGUGCUUGAACUGUUCUACUUGACAUGAGGUUAUAAUUUUGGGGCGAUGGCAUGGAGGAGGUAUUCAUUGACAUGCUUUACCAGGACACCAUUCACGGUUGAUUAAGGACUGGCAAGAUCACGAGUAGAGAGCAUAGCGCUUAUGCUAAGCGGCUCACUGCUGUUCGGGUAAGGGUGUUUGAUGUGAGCCAGAUUCGAGACAAAAUCUAGAGGUUGAAGGCCCAACAAUGUCUGUUUUCCAAUCUAAUGAGGCAAAUUGGGGUAAGUUGGGAUCCCAACACGAAGACGAUAGUGGGGAGUGGCAAGGCCUGGGAAAAUGCUAUCAGGGUAAAAAAUAAAUGGGGGAGGUUUUGGACAUUUGGCCUACCAAAGUAUGAGGAGUUGUACACCAUAUUCGGUGCUUCAGUUGCAUGCAAGACCUUGCAACACGCCUCAACACAACUGCCCCUAGAUAGUGAUGAGGAGCGGCGGCUUGAUUCGGAGAUGCAAGCUCGGCGCUCUCGCAUUGAGGUUGAUGACAUUGAUGUUUUGAUGGGAAUUGGUGCACAUUCAUCACGUAAGCGUAAAGAGAAAAUGAGCCCACUCGAUCAAGAAAUCUCUACGUUCCUGGAUGAGGGUUUUUUUUUUUUUA